UUUCCGCGCUGGGAAUUGAACCCGGGCCUCCUGGGUGAGAGCCAGGUAUCCUAACCACUAGACCACGUGGGA
rnacentral:tRNA from 13 species